rnacentral:lncRNA from 1 species
AGAAGUAAAGACUUGGGUUUUUGUUAAUGUUUCUGUUAGUGUAUUUGCAUAUUCGUUACAAGAUACAUGAACUACUAAACAAUCCUGCACAAAUAUUAAUUAGUACGCAAAAUAAGAGAUGCAAAAUUUCAUUCAUAAUGGAUAAAUAUCCAUCCCAGUUUUUUAAGACAUAACUACAUUUCUUCUUCGCAAUUGUGGUGAAAAAUACUAACAUAAGCAAUUAGAUGUGUACUCUGUAAAUAUCAAAAUAUCCGUUCUGGUGCGGGUUUUUCAGCUGGAAAUUCAAGUAAUUCUCGAAUCCCUUCACAAACCUGCAUUGAGACAAUGGAAAGUUAUCAAAACUCUGUAAAAUUAUUAUUAUUUGGACAGGAAUAGAUUAAAGUUUUUCUCAAAUAUCUUCAGGGAAAGAUCAAUUAUGGGUCAGUUCCAAAAUUUUCUCAAACAUUACCGACAUUUUCCUUGAUAUUUCUAGCAGUAGAACGAACCAUAACCAUGGGUAUGCUUAGUGGGUUUGAAGGCUACAUUGGUCCAGAUGAAAAGCAAAUAAAGUCAUGUGGGUUAGAUAAUAGAUUCUCAUUAGAGGAAAGGCCGGGGAGAAACUUUCUCCAUCCCAACAGGACUUCAAAUGUAAACUUUCAGAAAAAAACUCGUUGUGUCGUCUGAAAGUACACUUCCAGACAAAUUAAGCUGUCCGAAAGUACACUUCCAGAAAUAUGUGUGGGUUUUUAACAAUUUGGGUGUGAAACUGUGAAAGUAGCGUGAUUGCUCAUCCAUCCCCAAAUGUUUGCUCAUUUUUUUGCCUUUUUACCGGAUCCUAGCUUUCGGUAGUGUAAAAUAAACUACCAGAUUCUAACUUCCGGUAUUGUAUU